rnacentral:rRNA from 1 species
GGGCAACCUGCCCAAAAGAGGGGGAUAACACUUGGAAACAGGUGCUAAUACCGCAUAACCAUAGUUACCGCAUGGUAACUAUGUAAAAGGUGGCUAUGCUACCGCUUUUGGAUGGGCCCGCGGCGCAUUAGCUAGUUGGUGGGGUAAAGGCUUACCAAGGCAAUGAUGCGUAGCCGAACUGAGAGGUUGAUCGGCCACAUUGGGACUGAGACACGGCCCAAACUCCUACGGGAGGCAGCAGUAGGGAAUCUUCCACAAUGGGCGAAAGCCUGAUGGAGCAACGCCGCGUGGGUGAAGAAGGUCUUCGGAUCGUAAAACCCUGUUGUUAGAGAAGAAAGUGCGUGAGAGUAACUGUUCACGUUUCGACGGUAUCUAACCAGAAAGCCACGGCUAACUACGUGCCAGCAGCCGCGGUAAUACGUAGGUGGCAAGCGUUAUCCGGAUUUAUUGGGCGUAAAGGGAACGCAGGCGGUCUUUUAAGUCUGAUGUGAAAGCCUUCGGCUUAACCGGAGUAGUGCAUUGGAAACUGGGAGACUUGAGUGCAGAAGAGGAGAGUGGAACUCCAUGUGUAGCGGUGAAAUGCGCAGAUAUAUGGAAGAACACCAGUGGCGAAAGCGGCUCUCUGGUCUGUAACUGACGCUGAGGUUCGAAAGCGUGGGUAGCAAACAGGAUUAGAUACCCUGGUAGUCCACGCCGU